rnacentral:rRNA from 1 species
AGAGUUUGAUCCUGGCUCAGGAUGAACGCUAGCUACAGGCUUAACACAUGCAAGUCGAGGGGUAGCAGGGUAGCAAUACCGCUGACGACCGGCGCACGGGUGAGUAACACGUAUCCAACCUUCCCAUAACCCAGGGAUAGCCUUUCGAAAGAAAGAUUAAUACCUGAUAGUACUUUUUCAAGGCAUCUUGAGAAAGUUAAAGAUUUAUUGGUUAUGGAUGGGGAUGCGUUCCAUUAGAUAGUUGGUGAGGUAACGGCUCACCAAGUCUUCGAUGGAUAGGGGUUCUGAGAGGAAGGUCCCCCACAUUGGUACUGAGACACGGACCAAACUCCUACGGGAGGCAGCAGUGAGGAAUAUUGGUCAAUGGGCGAGAGCCUGAACCAGCCAAGUAGCGUGAAGGAUGAAGGUCCUAUGGAUUGUAAACUUCUUUUAUAGUAGAAUAAAGUGAUCCACGUGUGGAUUUUGUAUGUAUACUAUGAAUAAGGAUCGGCUAACUCCGUGCCAGCAGCGGC